rnacentral:rRNA from 1 species
UGGGGAAUAUUGCACAAUGGGCGCAAGCCUGAUGCAGCCAUGCCGCGUGUGUGAAGAAGGCCUUCGGGUUGUAAAGCACUUUCAGCGAGGAGGAAGGUGGUGAGCUUAAUACGCUCAUCAAUUGACGUUACUCGCAGAAGAAGCACCGGCUAACUCCGUGCCAGCAGCCGCGGUAAUACGGAGGGCGUGAAGCGUUAAUCGGAAUUACUGGGCGUAAAGCGCACGCAGGCGGUUUGUUAAGUCAGAUGUGAAAUCCCCGGGCUCAACCUGGGAACUGCAUUUGAAACUGGCAAGCUAGAGUCUCGUAGAGGGGGGUAGAAUUCCAGGUGUAGCGGUGAAAUGCGUAGAGAUCUGGAGGAAUACCGGUGGCGAAGGCGGCCCCCUGGACGAAGACUGACGCUCAGGUGCGAAAGCGUGGGGCAGCAAACAGGAUUAGAUACCCUGGUAGUCCACGCUGUAAAACGAUGUCGAUUUUGGAGGUUGUGCCCUUGAGGCGUGGCUUCCGGAGCUAACGCGUUAAAUCGACCGCCUGGGGAGUACGGCCGCAAGGUUAAAACUAAAGUGAAUUGAC